UACGUAGGGUGCAAGCGUUAAUCGGAAUUACUGGGCGUAAAGCGUGCGCAGGCGGUUAUGCAAGACAGAUGUGAAAUCCCCGGGCUUAACCUGGGAACUGCAUUUGUGACUGCAUAGCUGGAGUGCGGCAGAGGGGGAUGGAAUUCCGCGUGUAGCAGUGAAAUGCGUAGAUAUGCGGAGGAACACCAAUGGCGAAGGCAAUCCCCUGGGCCUGCACUGACGCUCAUGCACGAAAGCGUGGGGAGCAAACAGG
rnacentral:rRNA from 1 species